UCAAAUCCCUACACUUACUCUUCACCCAGAAAAAAAAGGAGGUGCAUGCAUUCUACAUCAGAUCAGACAGUAAAAAAAAAAUAGAGAAAACUAAAGAGUUAAAAAGAGAAGAGAGUGAAACAUUCAACAUCAAAAGGAGAAAUACGGAAGGAGAAAAGAAAAGAGAGUGAAGUUGGAUUCGAGUUUUUCCGGUAUCAACGUUCGAGUUUCUAUUUCAAUUCAUCAUACAGGUUCCUAUUUGGUCCUAUCUUAUUUAUUGUAUAAAAUUUGUUAAAAAUAAAAACAUGAAUGAAAUUUGUUUGAAUAAUUUUCAUGUAUUAUUCAAUAUGUGUUAUUGAUUUAUUACGUGAAUCUAUUCGUUACUACGUAUUGUAUUAUAAAUUGUUGAAUAUAUGCAUACCUGUUCAUAGAAAAUUUUUUAUUCGUAUAUCGUAAACACGCACAGAUAAUGGUAAAUAUGUAUUCACACAGUGAGGAAAAUAUAUCAGUAAGAAAAAGUAGAAUGAGAGAUCGAUUAGACAUAGCAAAAAAAAAUAGAAUUAGAAGUUUAUUUUUUCCGGCGAGAAGUCAUUGAAAAAUUUCAAAUCUCGCCGAAAACUAACUGAAAACACCGAUCCACAACCCCACACGCCGAUGUUAUCUUUAUUGGCCUUUUUUUUGAAUUCCAGCAAUCGUAUCAGAUCCGCCGCCAAUCUUUGCUCUAACAUCGGAAUCUGGCGAAUCAGUAACCAGAAUGCCAUCCGCGUGGCCACCGGUACAAGUUCCAAAAAAACAACCAAAAUCACCCCAAAAUAUCCCUUGCCGCGACCAUCUUUUUCCUCCUUCCCCUUGCCUGUCAUCGGUGAUGCCACCCAUGGCGAAGCCCAGCGUCUCGAUGCCUCGCACCCUUCUCCCCUUUUUUCAAUGACUAACAACCAUAAAUGCCGGGUUCCAAUCGCCGAAGUUGACCAAUAACUAAUGUCCUUUUUCGGUGAUAUAAGCAAAAGCGAUGGACGUUAUUUUCCCUUCUAGUAUCUUAUCAUAUGCCAAAGAAUUUCAACUGUCCCUUUAUUUUCAUUUUACUUUAGAAGAAUUUAAUAAUGAUAGGAAUUUUAUUAUUUAUUUUAAUUAUUUACAAAGUUGGACUACUAUAGAAAGUCCAAGGCUAUAAUUGUUGUCCUCUAGUAGAUUAUUUUAUUUAUUUAUUUAUUUUUUAACCUAUUAAUUCCUUCUUCAAUUACCACUAUUAAUUUUCUAGAAAAAUUAUUGUCAAUUGAUGAUUCUAGUGAGGUAUAUCCUCAAAUUUGUCGUUAGAUGAAAUCGAUUAAAAAUAUUCGUGCGAAUUUUGAAAUUAUUUCAUAAUAUGUGAUUUUAGGUUAAUAAUAAUAAUAAUAAUAAAAAUAGAUUUGGAAAAUCUUAUAAAAUUAAUAUAAUAUGAUUAAUUUUGUAUAUAUGUGUUAUAAUAUUAUUUUAUUAUCUUAUUUUUAUUCAUUAUUAUUAAUAAAUUUUAAUAAUUAUUUGGUUAAAUUAAUUAAUCGCCCAAAUGAAUUUUGUUCGAGUUUACUGUUAAAGUUAAGUGAUGCUUCAAAUAAAUUCAUUGACAUUUUUUUAACGUUAGAUAAUUUUUAGACAUGUUUAAAAUAUUCAUCUCAAUUAAGAAUGCGGCGUACGUACCUUUUUGGGAUAUUUUAAAAUUCAAGAAUGUAAUAAUACAUCUUGAUAAAUGUUUUUUCUAUAAAAUUAAAUUUACAUCGAUUUAUUUAAUAUAAAGAGUGUAAGUAGAUAUUUUCGAUAUAAUAAAAAUGAGUGAUUUUAGGCCUUAACAUAUUUCAUCAAAAAUAGUUUAAGUAAAGAUAAGUCAAUAAAAGCGACCGUGCUAGAAUCACGGGACUCGAGGGGUGCCUUACACCUUCCCUUCAAUCAACAGAAUUUCUUACCCGAUCUUCUGUUUUGGCAGACCAAAAUAAAAUAGUCAUUUUCUUUUAACUAGGGAUUCAAAAAGGUGACUUGGAACACCAUAACUUGAUUCCAAGUGGAGACUCUCUAUGAUUAAAAUAAUCUCUAUUCAAUAUCGUCACUUUAAUUGAAAAAACCCUUCGACUCGACCUUCGAGCGAGAAAAAGGGGUGUGACAGUUUGCUUGAUUACUUGAGAAACCCGAAUUGUGAUUAUUCCUUGAAAAAUGAUUUUGCUUGUACUCAUUUGCAUGACACCCUACCUGUGCUUGACAAAUAUGGUGACUUGAUUGUGAUCUCUUUGAUGUUAAUGGUGGUUUGUGUCUACUCGAGGACCCUAGGACAAAUGUGUCAUUGUCUCUUUGGGGUGUUGCUCAUAUUCGUGCAUCAAUGUUUAACACACUUGUACUUAAGUUAUGUGAACCACUACUUGUGGAUGUCAAGUUGUAUUCUUGUUUGUGGAAGGGCCCAAGGAUGUUAAAGGCUUUUUGUCACCUUUAUGGGGUUGGACAAAUUGAAGAUCUUAUGGGACUCUUGGGAGCAUGCUUAACAUCAUUGGUAGAGGGAAACCAAGUUCUUGGGCAAACUACUUGUCUUGGAUUGGAUUUUUCCAUGGUAGUUUCCCUAUUCUCCCUAUUGGUUUGAUUCCCUUGAUGGAAUACCUUCCCUCGGGUAGUGGUUGGAAAAAGAGAGGUCCUACGUGCUUGCAAUGUCCCUUUAUCUCUUUGUGUGUUCCUACUUGUGAAUACAUCUUGGAUGAGAAUUGUGUCUUUGGUGCCUUUAUUCACUACCUAUAUGCAUAUGAUGAUAUUUAUGGUGUUGUUGGAUAUACAUCGCAUGAGAGACGUAGUUUCAUUUUUUGUUCCUUAUUUCUUAAUGUUCAUCUGAGCCCUUUCCUUUGUAAUGUUGUACAAAUUAUUUUCAUAAUUAACACAAAGAAUCCUUUAUUGUACUUCAAAUGUGUACCACCGUGGCACGAUAAUACUAAAUGUUUAUUUUUCUAACUCUAACCCUCAUGCCAUGAGGAUGUGUGCUUAUUUGUUUUCUCUUUGAUUUUUCAAGGUAUGGAUUCAAGGUCGAAUCCUUUUCAAGAAUGAGAGGAUGAUACGAGUACGACCACAAAGAUGGACAUACGUUUGAUGUAUUAAACCCAAGACUUAGAGUGUUCAAAUGAAGUACAAAAGAGGGACUAAAUAGGCUCCAAAAACAGUCCACAUUCUACACUCUAAGGGCGCCAAAAGUGAAGUAUUUGACUAAGGGGUCUUUUGGACAUUUCUCAUUAUUUCUGUAACCUACUAUAAAUAGAAUAUGUCAGGUCAUUUACUACUUAGUCUUGAUUGAAUAUUGAAAGUUGUAACAUUUAAACUCCCACUUUUGAGAGAAUGGCCUCUUGACCAAAACAUAGUAACUAGGGAAAUCAACUUGAGUGAGGAAUCACUCGUGUUGGAUUCAAGCUUGGAAACGUUGGAUGGUGGAAUGUAAGAGAUAGGUGAAUCAUUGUGUAUGGUGUUAAGGAUCCAAGAGUGGAAUAGGCUCUUGGGUUCUUAAGAGUACAUCUUUGUGUAGUCUAUCUAUCUAUCCCUUUGUUUCUUGUAGCCGUGUGUUUGUUGUUCUUAAUAAUAUUGUUAUUAUUCUUCAUAUUGCGUCAUUCUCGUGUUGUUAAUCUAGUUUGUUGUCCAUUGUAAUAGGUAUUAAACACCUUGUUAUAGUGCCUUUAUAGUGUUGUUUCUAUUGUUGUUUUUCAACCCGAGACUAGGUCUCAUUUGGGUUCUCGGGUUUGGCUUAGAUUAGUGGACUAUUUUUGUGCUUUUCUUGUGUUUCCAAGUCAUACUUGUAUCAUUUGGUAUCAGAGCCAUCUUUGAUUUUUGUUCUAACAAAAUCAAUCUUGGGCUUGAGAGUUGAAAAAUAAAACAAAAUUUGAAAACUGAAAAUUUUAGAAAAGAGAGCAAUCAGUCCAUUUUGUGUUCUU
rnacentral:lncRNA from 1 species